GGGCAAGUACACGUACCCUGCACUCCGGGAGGAGGCCCCAAGGGAACACGUGGAGAGCUUCUUCCAGAAGAUGGACAGAAACAAGGAUGGUGUGGUGACCAUUGAGGAAUUCAUGGAGUCUUGUCAAAAGGUCUAUCCUCAUCCUAGGCCUCCCUGGGGGCUGGAGGGAUCCAGGAGCUUGGGGAUUCAGUAGUCCAGAUCUCUGGAGCUGAAGGGGCCAGAGAGUGGGCAGAGUGCAUCUCGGGGGGUGUUCCUAACUCCCACCAGCUCUCACCCCCUUCCUGCCUGACACCCAGUGUUGAGAGUGCCCCUCCUGUAGGAAUUGAGUGGUUCCCCACCUCCUACCCCUACUCUAGAAACACACUAGACAGAUGUCUCCUGCUAUGGUGCUUCCCCCAUCCCUGACUUCAUAAACAUUUCCCCUAAGA
rnacentral:sRNA from 1 species